rnacentral:rRNA from 1 species
UACGUACUGUGCGAACGUUAUUCGGAAUCACUGGGCUUAAAGGGUGCGUAGGCGGCCGAUUAAGUAGGGUGUGAAAUGCCAGAGCUCAACUUUGGCAUUGCGCUCUAGACUGGUUGGCUUGAGUGAGAUAGGGGUGUGCGGAACUUCCAGUGGAGCGGUGAAAUGUGUUGAUAUUGGAAGGAACGCCGGUGGCGAAAGCGGCACACUGGGUCUUAACUGACGCUGAGGCACGAAAGCCAGGGGAGCGAACGGG